rnacentral:lncRNA from 12 species
AUGAGACACAGCCAUCUUCUAACCGUAUACAUACUGGGAACUAUAUUCUCAGAAGGCAAAGCACUGCUAUUCUGCGGAGUGAUUUGCUUGCAGCACCUGAGAAGCCCUGUGUUGAGGAGCAGAGAGUUCGCUCAGAGUGUUGCGCUUAUCACUCCACAGAAUAGCAAUGGCUGUGUCUCAUGUGACCUUGUUAUUUGUACACGUUGUGACUAUACAAAUCAAAACGUAAAUAGGAAAAUUGGUGUUAUUUUGACUCUUAUUGAGAGCAGUAUGCUAGCUGGAGCCAUUUACCUCCAGUCUUUGUGCUAAGCUAGGCUAGCUGUGGGUUCGUCAGACAGAGUUACAGCACGCACAGAGAUGAGAAGGGUAUGUAUGGACUUAUCUAACUCUGGUGGAUAUGGUGAAUAAGCUAAAGUUCCAAAAAGACAGUGUGUUCCUUUCACGUUUGUGCUUAAAGUGCUGAAACAGUGGCACAAUGUUUUUCACAACCUCAAGUUUACAGUUGAACCAAAAACAAGUCAAACAAAAUGCAAGCACAUUGCAAAAAAAAAACAAAAAACAACAACAGUAUUCACUUGCAUCUUAACUGCUUAAUGGUGAAAAUGGUGAAAAAGCUAAAGUCCCCAAAAGACAGCGUGUUCCUUUUAACUUCCUUUCCUUUAACUAACGUGUUAAUUUAAAAUGUUAAACAUAGAACAUUUAAAGUUUUAAGGACCAAAUGUGAUAACACUUUGAAUGUUUAAAUAACAUUACUCUUAACCUAUUCUUUUAAUUAAUUGUUUAAAGAUGAGUAUGGCUGAAGUGUUUAACAUUGUUGUUGUUUUUUACAUUAACAAUGUGUUGCUGGUUUGAAAUAAAACCUGGACUAAAAUAUCAAGCAUGUAGUAGUUAUUUUUUUUUUUUAAACCUUGUAAUAUUUAAAAACAUUUUAGUCAACUGAACGAACUUUAUUAAGUCAAGUGAAAAUAACAUUAAAAGUUGAAAUGUUAUAAUUUUCUACGUUUUUUUAACUAUAAAAACUCAAUCAGCUAAACAAAAGAUCUUAAGUUGAGAGAUAUGUGACCUUACUCAGUGAAUUGAGUAAAGUGAACUACUUUGUUUAAAAGUUGACUAAACUCAAAAAAGCUGUGCAGCAAGUUGCCUUGAAAUUUUAAGUUAUGUCAACUUUUCUUUUUUUACAGUAGUUUUGGGGGGUGGUUGAAAUGUAUUAUAUUAUUAUUUAGAACUUAGGUUUGAAAAGGGAACUCAAAAUAUGCCACUGAAAGGUUGUUUAGGGUCAGCGGCUAACAUUUAGCAAGUAGACAUUUAUUUGUAGUGUUCCUUUAAGUUUCCAAGAAAUCAUAAAAAGUCAAAAAAAAAGUUUUGGUUCUCAUACAAAAGAAGAAGUCAUGAGAUCCCCCCCAUAAAAAAAAAAAAAAAAAAAAAAAAAAAAAUUUUCAAAGUGCGGGUGCUAUGUAGUCUGAUUUACUAACACAUAGUUCUUAUGAGUCAGUUCUUUUAAUGACUCACUCAACCAAAAAAAAAAAAAAAAAAACCCCGUUUUACAAAAUCAGGAGUUACCAGUAUGAAUCAGUCUGAUGGACAUUUCACUGAACAAACUCACAGAAUCUGUUAAAGCAGCUCAUAAAUCGACAAAAAGUAUGACUUACAAUUAAUGAACUGCAAGGUCCAUAUCAAUCCAUAACUAAUCCUUGUUCUUACUUCUUAACCAAAACAGAAUAACACUGUGAUCACUGUUAUCACAUUUUCACUCUAAGGAGCACACUAAGACAAUGCUGGUUGUCUGAAGGACUGUGUGUUGGAUCAGGCUGUCAGUUUUACAGGAGCUCCCUAAGGAAAUGUCCUGGCUCUUUUCCAUGUCACCUACAGAAAUACUCUGAUAACACUUUGAUUGCUAGAUGUGUGAGAGGAAGAAUAGUACGAGGCGUUUUUUUUUUUUUUUUUUUUUUUUUUAAUGCAGUAGUCUGCUAUUAUAGAAUAAAGGACAGAUAACUGCUAAGGAAUGCAGGGUCUGUCCUGGGAACAAACUCACUGAAGGUGGUGACUGAGAGAAGAGUGCUGUCCAAACUUUUAAACAUUAUGGAUACAUCCAUAACAAGAGCACUUUCCGUUCUAGAAUCAUCAUACCCUGGUGUAACACUGAGAGACAGAAAAUCCUUCCUGUCCCCUGCCAUUAGUCUGUACACUUUAUCCCUAUACUAAUGUUAGUCAUGUAUUUGCAUUAUAGCCACUUCCUUUAAGAACUACACAUAUAAAACACAUAUACAUACAUACAUUAAGGCUGAUUUCUACUGGGUGGCCCUUAUUUUUGGCCUUCUGAAAUCUUCUGCUCUCACCUACCCAGUCAACUCUCUUUAAAGAGAAAUGGAAACAAACCAAAUUUCGCUGAGAUUGGACAACAUUUGGGGUGUACUCAACAAAGUCAAAAUUCUUUUGUAAUGACCAUAACAGCAUAUAAAUGAUAAUUAUACAAAACCAUUAGUAAACUGUGAAUUAGGUUAAAAACAAGAACACAGAACAGUGUUGUUAGUCUUAAAAUGUUCACCAAAUACAUUGGUGCCAAUGGUCUCGUGGACAACACACUGACAUGUAGCACCUUUGUGGUUGAGGCGCCCCAAGUUCAAGUCCCGGCUCACAGACCUUUCCUGAUUCUGUCCCACUUCACUUCCUGUCCACUUACUGUCCUAUUGAAAUUAAGGCAUACAACGCCAAAAAUAAAACCUUGAAAAAGUUAAUUACAACGCUGCUGAUGAGAACUGAUCUUUGAAAAACUGCUAUCUGAUCUAGAUUGUGAUGUCAAUCUGACACGUGCCUCAGCCGCUGAAACUGGAAACAGAUUUUGGUGCAUUCUGACAAUCUGCCUAAUGAACUGCAUUUGUUCUUCAGUCUUAGAUACACCUCUUUGCAACAUCUCUUUCCUGCAUUCGCAUUGUUCCGGGAUCUUAAUUUAGACAGAAUAACGAAGAAGUUGUGAGACUGCUGUCAUUGGCAUGACAUAUUACCAAGUAUGGUAACCUAUACUCAGAAUUUCUGCUCUGCAUUUAACCCAUCCAAGUGCACACAUACAGCAAUGAGUAGUGAACCCAGCUCAGUCAUGGUUACUGAAGGUGGAAGAGAGCACUGUACAUUCACUCCCUCACCUACAAUUCCUGCCAGUACUGAGAGUCAAAAUUUUAUCAGUGAACAAAAACUCUGCUAAUGUCACCUAUCAGAUCUUGAGGUACCUAUUGAUAAAGAUGACUGAAAAGAUACAUUCUAAUUUUACCUACAUUUCA